GGGUCAGUAGGCUGGUCGUGCCACCGGUACGUACUGGUCUCACUGAUUCCUCCUCCCUCAAGAACCGUAAUGCCAUUAAUUUGGUGUUGCGGGGAAACAGGACUUUUACUUUGAAAAAAUUAGAGUGUUUAAAGCAAGCUAACGCUUGAAUACAUUAGCAUGGAAUAAUGAAAUAGGACGAUCGAUCCUAUUUUGUUGGUUUCUAGGAUUGACGUA
rnacentral:rRNA from 1 species